CAGUAGCCGCGGUAAUACGUAGGGUGCGAGCGUUAAUCGGAAUUACUGGGCGUAAAGCGUGCGCAGGCGGUUCGUUAAGACAGAUGUGAAAUCCCCGGGCUUAACCUGGGAACUGCAUUUGUGACUGGCGAGCUAGAGUAUGGCAGAGGGGGGUAGAAUUCCACGUGUAGCAGUGAAAUGCGUAGAGAUGUGGAGGAAUACCGAUGGCAAAGGCAGCCCCCUGGGCCAAUACUGACGCUCAUGCACGAAAGCGUGGGGAGCAAACAGGAUUAGAUACCCCCGUAGUCCCUGUCUCUUAUAC
rnacentral:rRNA from 1 species